AUGCUGAUACGUACCUGGAGAGAAUCAAAACUCUGCCCUGAGCAGGAAGGACCAUUCCAAGUACUGCUCAGCCCUGAAACAACCAUAAGAGCUGUGGGAAAAGGCUGGACUCACUAUACUCAGGUCAUCUUUAUGACUGCUCCCAUCAACAGCUUGCCCUCAAAUCCGUAUCUGGUCCAGAGCUGAAUUUACUGUGCUUAAAGCAGGUUUGGGUGAGUGUGCAAGGUACUCUCCCUGCUACAUACUCUCAUGUGUUGUAUUUUCCUUUCUUAGGGUGUAGUUCUAGAGCAAUGGUCAAAAGAGCUUACCUUACCUUUACCAAAAGAGCUUCCUGGUGCUUACCGUAGCAGCUAGGAGCAAUGUCCCUUCCCUCACAUAGAAUUUACCCACUUUUAUGGUGGACCAGCCUGGUCCCUCAGAUGCUGGGGGUAUCCAGACCACCUAGUCUACUCAGCAGCUAGUGCAGCCUGAGGUUCACUAACUGCUCAAAAACAAAGGCUCAAAGCAGAGAGCACAGUUACACAGAAGAAAUAGGAUUUAAGAAGAGUAUAGGACAGACUACAGUGAUGAAACAAAAUGCUGUUAGUCAAGCAUACCUACCUGCCCCUGUUUACAUGCCACUGGCUCCUUUUCUCUUUUUUUCUUUUUUAUCUGUUUUGCCGUGUUCAUCCCUCCCAUAUCUGCACUGAUCCCACCUUUUCUCCUUCCUAUGUCUGUUCCUCUAAACAUCCCAUAUGAAGUUUCAUGCAGUCUCUAGGUUCUGCUCUGUUCCAUUUCUAAAUUCUCCCUCUGCAUCCCGUAAUGUCUUAUAUCGCUGUAGGCCAUAAUUACCCUUCAUGGCAUUACCAGGAGACAGUUCCUUUCAGCGAGUCACCUUGGUGGGUUUUGCACCAGGGAUGAUGCAGGGGUGGAUCACCCAUGGCACCAGGGACUGCUCUUCCCUGAUGAUAUGAGGAUCAGCCUAUUUAGUGUGCUACAUUUUCACUGAGUAGGUUACAGGGCUCUCUCUGCCUGCUGUUAUUUCUUCUGUUUCCUUUGAUUAGCCUUUAGACAUGUAACCAAGUGCUUUAUCAAGCAAGUGUUUGUUGGGACAGGGUCUCUGAUCUGGCAUCUUCAGACUUUCUCUUAUUCAUUUCUUCUUCUUUGGAGGUCACUGACAGGUCUACUAAGCAGGAAGAAAAAACAGAACAAUUUGAUUCAGAGUUGUUGCCACAUGUCUGAAUAUCCAAGCCCAUUUUUGGGAAGCAUUCUCUAAAAUUCAGUUGCACUAAGGACAAGGAAACAUGUAGAAGAACACACUGUGAUAUUACAAGUAAUAUCACAAGUAAUGAGUUACUAUAACAAGUAAUAUCCAAGACAAACCUCCCCUGGUGGUACUGGAAACUGUUUCCUUGCAUCCUAUCAUUUGUCACCUGGAAAAAAAAAAAAAAAAAAAAAAAAAAAAAAGGAAUGACAACCACCUCACUACAACCUCCUUCUUUCAGGUUGCUGUAGAAAGCAAUGAGGUCUCCCCUCAACCUCCUUUUCCCCAGGCUAAACAGCCUCAAUUCCUUCAGUUGUUCCUCACAAAGAAAUAAAAAAAAUAGCUUACAGCCAAGAAAACAGAUUUCAACAGAAGAUAAAAAGACAGAAAUAAUGGUAGGUUGCUACCAAAUUGGAUUAUGGAGCUGGUGCCUUUUUUAGGCCAGCAGGCGAGCAGAUAGGAGGGACGGGUACUGUGAAACAGUCUCAUGAGAUCAGGGGCAUGUUAGCCCACAGAACGCAUGAAUU
rnacentral:lncRNA from 1 species